GUAGGUGAACCUGCAGAAGGAUCAUUAUCAACGUAUCCACGUUUAUAAACCAAUUUAGUGAACCGUCGCCACCUCUGGGCUAUGGCCGCUGUCUAUCGAUGCUAAGCUCAUUGUAUGAUUAUGGGCGUGUCGACUGACAAUUAAGGCUGUCUCUUCAGAGCGUAUUAAUCAUACGUUAUCUAUCUAUUAACCACUUGAACCAAUCAAUUUAUUUUAUCUUUGUUUGAACUGAUUUGUUUCUUACUCUGCG
rnacentral:misc_RNA from 1 species